rnacentral:rRNA from 1 species
UACGGAGGAUCCAAGCGUUAUCCGGAAUCAUUGGGUUUAAAGGGUCCGUAGGCGGUCUAGUAAGUCAGUGGUGAAAGCCCAUCGCUCAACGGUGGAACGGCCAUUGAUACUGCUGGACUUGAAUUAUUGGGGAGCAACUAGAAUAUGUAGUGUAGCGGUGAAAUGCUUAGAGAUUACAUGGAAUACCAAUUGCGAAGGCAGGUUGCUACCAAUUGAUUGACGCUGAUGGACGAAAGCGUGGGUAGCGAACAGG